rnacentral:rRNA from 11 species
CCACGCCCGUCUGAGGGUCGGC